AUUGGAUUUCUAUCUUGCCCCCCAGGCUCUGAGAUAGGUACUUUAUACACCUUAUUUUAUUUACUCUUUUACUCUUUACAACAACAACCCCAUGAGGUAGGUGUGAUGUGUCCCUUAAGAAAUUGAACAUCUGGGAGGCUAACUCACUCAAGAUCACACAGGCAUUAAAUGUCAGAGCCAGGAUUUGAACCAAUGUCUGCUAGAUGCCAAAGCCCAUGUGCUUUCUCUCUACUCAGAUAGUACCAAGAGGACUUGAUGAGUGAUUACAUAUUUUCUCCAAUUAGGGUUCCAUCGUUGCUCACUUUCCUAAAUUUUGUAGAAAGCCAUGUGUGUGCUCCAGCCUCUAGCAGCCCUGAGGAAGAAUGCAUUCCACUAGGUUACAUUGUGCUAAGGGAAGGAGUACUUCUUACAUUAAGCAGAGUGUUGAGGCCAAGGAGUGUUCAACCUAUCUAGGUGUAUAUUUGUUUUCUACUGUGGCUAUAACAAAUUAUUAUAAGCAGUUAUCAUAAAUUGAUACACAUGUAUUACCUUACAGUUCCAUUAGUAGUCUACCAUGCAUCUCACCGGGCUAAGACUGACGCAUCAGCAGGGCAGAGUUCCUUUCAGAAGGCUUUAGGGGAGAAUUCUCUUCUUGACUUUUAGAGCUUCUAGAGGACACUACUG
rnacentral:lncRNA from 1 species